CAUUUAACAAUAAUAACAUCAGCAACAACAACAAGUUAAUACAUUUUUAUCACAGACUGUUAUAAAAUAUCACAUCAUUGGUUAAAAAAAAAUAUAGGUACUUACAUUUAAUAGCUACAUAUAAAAUGGACGGGUAUAUAUAUAUAUAAAGGAACAUAUGUCUUUACUGUGCUUCUUGGUUCACAUUCAAACAGUCUUUGUUAGUGACCAAGUAUUAUCAAUUCACUCUGUUACAAUCGAAAUCGGUUGGAUUUAGGUCAUGUCAAUGUAUUGGACCAGUAAGGAAAUGCAAUUGCAGUAACAAUCACUCAUUAGUAUAACAAUAUACUAUUUCAAUUUCGUUUUUACCAAUGAAAACUGUAUACCAUAAAUAAGGAAAAACAUAUAGAUAAUUGUGUCUGUAAUGCAUUUUUAAACGUAUUUUGACAAUUUAUUCCCACUCUUCCAAUCUGCAAGUUACAAACUCUUAUAUUUUUUUUUAUCUUACAAUUGGUCCAGAACAAGCGAGUUUAAUGUAGUCCUUAGCUUUUUAACGACUUAAAAAUGGAACUAAAAAACUUAACGCAAAACAAUCGACAAAUUUUCAUUGGUAUAUUACAAGUUUUAAAAAAUCACAAAAUAUCACUAACAUUAAUAACUAUAUUAUACAGACUAACAGUAAAAAUACAUAUACAACAUUUAAAAAAAAUAAAGCUACGUUUGCUUCAGUAUUUGCUUGGAAAGGAUACAGUAUUUGGGAGGUGCAACCCGAAAAUAAAAGUACAUUAUUAAAAAAAAUCAAUAGAGCAAAACUUAUAAAACACACGUGGUGUGAGAACUGUGCUUUCUUUAAAUAUUGGAUGUUAUAUUCUGUCCUUUGAAACUUAUAUUCAGUAUGUCGACAAAGACAAACAUUUACUAACCAACAUGAAUAUAUUAAGUACCUUGGACAAAUACCUUCUGUUUAAUAUUGCAUUACAAUCAAUGAACAACUUAUUGUAAAUAAUUACCAAACGAUCGAAGGUCAAGAACUUAUUACAAAUUCAAUAAAGGAAAUUUAUAAAUAUCAUGAUUUUACAAUUUCAACACAAUAGUAGCAAAUAUCCUCAGCUGUGCAUUUCAGAAUAUAUGUUUGAUAUAUGUGUUGAGUAAAUUUGUAGCAUUUAUUUUUAGAAUAUCAACUUAUUGUCAAUAACUAAAACAUAAUUUAAAAUCAACUGCAUAUCUCGGUUAAUGCAAGGGAGACAAAUGAAAACAACAAGAUUCAAUGUUAUUUGAAGAUCACAUUUU
rnacentral:lncRNA from 1 species